UGUUUUUGUUUGUUUGUUUUAAGUAUAAAAACUCCACCCCCUUUUGCAAAUCAGAAUCUUUGUUUUUAAUCAGGCAGUUGAAACUAGGGCAGUUAAUAGUUGAAGCUCUUGGUUUGCUUCACUGAAAAUCUCUGAGUUGUGUCAAGCACCAUGUGACCUGCUGCCUCUGGGACUUUGUGUUCCUUUCAGCAGAAGGAGCCUGGGAGAGACCCGGCCUCCCGGCGCUGUUGGCGUGCUUCUCCUGGGGUCCCUGGAGCCGGGGGAAGAACCCGUUUGCCACCACCUCCCCCAGUGGUCCAGCUCAGGGUAACUUCCGGGAACCUGAGGAGGAGCUGGCGCUGACAGUCAUACUUCCCAACGGAGACUGUGAGGAUCCUGGAAAGGGGUCGGGAGCCUGUGACAGAGCUGCCCACACUCCCGCUGAGCCCGCUGGAGACUCCAGAUGAAGUCUGGACCCCUGGGCUGCUGCAGCUCCUCACUGAGCCCCCAGGCCUCCACGAUGACCUUGGGAGUGCAGUCUCUAUGAAGCCCCACCUUCCAGGGGACUGCCACACUGACAGACACCAGCAAGGCAGCGGGACUUCCUCAGCUAAGCCAGACCUAGGAAAAUGUAUCCUCUGGGAACUUGGUCCCUCCCCCGCCUCCAUUUUGGUCACUCUGGUCACAGUGAGGUUGUUUUUUCUCCCUCGCCUUGGUUUCUCUGUGCCAUUGAGACAGAAGGCGGCCUACUUUGCGGCUCUGUGGUGCUGUGGCAUCCCGUGGUCGUGUGCAUGAGCAUCCAUCACUGCACAUGCAGCUGGAAAGAAGUCUGGACCAGGAGUUAUCAAACAGGGAGGGGAGAUCUUAGACCUGUCACUCAACCACGGGCCAGGCUACCCACCUGCAAGCAGCACUGGAAGUGUGUGUGUGUGUGUGUGUGUGUGUGUGUGUGUGUGUGUUGCGAGGCUUCACUCUGACUGUGGGGCGCCCCUGGAAUUUAGUGGGCAUCUCGCAUUGUGUAGGGCAAGCUCCAAAAACAGAAUUGUUCCACCCAAAAUGCCAGUCGUGGCACCUUUGAGAAAUUGGAUGAGCCAAUCUCUUCCCCUUGUCAAAUUCUAGGAAGAGUCCCCCAGAGCAGAGAGGGUUGGGGUUCCUGGGACCUCCGCUCCUGAGCAAGCCAGAAUAAAGACUGCACUGCCCCCUGGGGGCCUGGGGGCCAGGCCCAGGACAGACAUAGCCUUGCACAGCCAUGCGAAGAAAGAGCCCUCUUUCUUCCUCAUGUUGCCAUUGACUUUCUGUGCCAAGUUCUUUUGAGAAUAAGGCACCAAACAGAAGGAAAGUUGGGUUAUGGAUUAAUGCAAGGGCAUAGGACUUGCUCUCAAUCUCAGGUCCUAACCCAAGGUCAAAGCCGACCCAGCCCAGAGGUGCCGAGUGCCGGAAUCCUUUUUUCUCUGGUUAUGAGUCAGACAGGGUCAAUGAUGGUCCCUUAAAAGCCAGGAAGACCAUCUGUUCACUCAGAGAAGGAACUCUGCAUUACCUCCCUUGUCUUCCUUGCCCGCCAGGAGAAAUCCAGUCUUUGGAAUGGCAAGGACAGCUCCUGCUUUUCCCUGGUAGGAAGUACUAUCUAAGGGAAGUAGUUACAUUCAUUCAUUCAUGCGUGACUCACUCAGCACACAUGCAAUUGUGCCUACUAUUUGCCCAGCAUUCUGGCAGGUGCUGCAUAACUUCCUUGAGUUAUUUCUGCCAAAAUAACCGUGAUAGUGCCAAAAGGUGGAGUGGCAAACCUGUGGCUGGGGGCCUCUGUGAUGUUAAAGAGGACCCUCGCUGCUCUGCACCUCCGUUUAUUUUCUACAACAGGGAGCCUAUGGGCAGGUAGGAUGACAGCUUAUUUGGGGCAGUUUGACAGCAUGUGUCACUUUAAUAAUGCAAAAGUAUCUCCAAUAGAAGGACCCAAUUGACUGCCUUCUGCCCAAGAGUGAACUCAAUGAAUUGCUGUUGAUGUUUGAAAAUAUGGGGACUGGUAUUGUUGAAGCUGCUCUAUUUUUCUAUUUAUCCGUUAAUUUCUUUGUAAUGAUUUGGUUAGACUUUUAUUAUUUGGUGGGGGGAGGGAGCUUCUCUUAAGGUAGAAAAUUGUCUAAGGCAGAAGUCGAAAGGCAGAAGCCUCUGCUGUACUUCAAAACUCAGGAGUUUGUUGCCAAUAUUUGAAACUUGGGAGAUUGCACAUAAAGAGCUUGUUUUCAGGGAGGGGGGAGGGGUGUGCCGUCAUCUUCAUUUUGCUGUGAUUCCACCCCCACACACUUGAGCCCUUUCUCACCCUCCCACCCUCCCCUCUACUGCACUUCCCCACUAUAGGCCCCCGCCUGGGGCUGGUCCUGGUGGGCAUUUGAGUUUGCAAGCCUCUGCUAUAAAGGGUGGUGUGCGCAUUUUUUCAUCACUUUCAGUAUUUCCUGUGAAUAUGUGAAGAGAGAGGGUCUUUCUUGACUGAGAUUGGGUUCUGCCUCCCUACUGGUAAAGACCGGACUGACAUCCUUCCGGGCCCCUCCUGGCUCCCGUGGCGGGCGGCUAAGAGAAGCACCGUCCUUUUGCUCUUUUCCAGCAGACAGAAGAGUUCGGUGCUGGGAGGGACCUUGGUGCUGGGCCUCCUCUCCAGCGACUAUUCCGAGGCCUGAAAGCUGGGGUGGGCCUGUCUGAGAGUGGAGGCCCCGGGUUAGGUUAGUGGUGCCGGGAGCCGUUGACGAGGGGCCUCCGUCGGGUCACAAUCUGGGCUCUUGGUACUAAUCUUUCUAACAUGGCAGUUGUACUGCUUCUGACUUGAAUUGAUUCCUUAGACCUAAUAAAGCCAAACAGUGCCUCACUGCUGUCUAAUAAAACACAGUGGAUCCCCCCCUUUCUGUCUUGAGGUGCUCCUUCCGGGAGCCCUUGGGCAAAUGGUGGGAAGCUCUGAAAUAGUUUGGCCUGAAAGUCCGCUCGUCCUGCCCCGAGGGACAUCUCUGCAACUUUACUGGCUGGGGUUGGAAAGUACUUAAAAAGAGAUUUGUUAAAAAGAUGGUAUUUAGCUUGGUAGUUAACAGGGAGUAUAUGUUUGCGUGUGCACACGCACAUGUUUCACGCGAUAGAAUGGCCUUAACUGAGUCUCAGAGAGCCCCUUACAACAUGUGUGUCAGUUUCUCUCUUCUCAAAGUAUUUGUCCCCAAGAUUAACCACACAAGAGGAGUUCCUAGGUUGUCCAGCCAAAACCAAGGCAAACCUGCAAAGGGGCCCAGGGCUGCGCCCCGCCCCCCCCCACCUGUGGUCUAAACAAACCCCUCUGACCCCAGACAGAACCAGGACCCGCAUUUUGAGUCCUGGUUGUAGAAGUUCGGUCCCUUUCUUGUCACCCUGACUUUCUUCUCUCCCUCACUGAUUACCAGGGUGUUCUCAGAGUGGGGUGUUGCCUCGGAUCAUGGCCCCAACCCCAGACUACUAGUGUUCUUACCCUGACCACCUACACCCCAGGUGUAUUGCCGGCUCCAGAAGUCCUGGCUGCCGGGACAGCCACUCCCAGCCCCUUGCUCCCCGACAGGAGUGGGUUUCACUUUCAGCCUCCACACCUGGUCUGGUCUGAACAUGUGCCAGAACCAAAGCAGGCGAGACGGCCGAGCCGGCCAAAGGCCUGGGCCUGGGUGGGCGGUCGGAAGGGACAAGACC